rnacentral:rRNA from 1 species
CCUACGGGAGGCAGCAGUGAGGAAUAUUGGUCAAUGGCCGCGAGCCUGAACCAGCCAAGUAGCGUGAAGGAUGACUGCCCUACGGGUUGUAAACCUCUUUUAUCAAGGAAUAAAGUGAGGCUCGUGAGCCUCUUUGUAUGUACCUUAUGAAUAAGCAUCGGCUAACUCCGUGCCAGCAGCCGCGGUAAUACGGAGGAUCCGAGCGUUAUCCGGAUUUAUUGGGUUUAAAGGGGGCGUAGACGGGUUGUUAAGUCAGUUGUGAAAAUUUGCGGCUCAACCCUAAAAUUGCAAUUGAUACUGGCAGCCUUGAGUACGGUAAGGGUAGGCGGAAUUCGUGGUGUAGCGGUGAAAUGCUUAGAUAUCACGAAGAACUCCGAUUGCGAAGGCAGCCUACU